AAGCGUUUGCGACCAGACCUUUUCCAGGCGGAUCAUCCGGCGUUCUCGCCGGUGCACUUCGCCUGGUCUAGGCCAGCAUCGGUUCUCCUAGGGGGAUAAAGGCCUGGGGAACGUAGCUCUCUCGGGAGUGUUAUAGCCCCUCGCGCAAUACCCCUCGGGGGACCGAGGACCGCGCAUCUGCAAGGAUGCUGGCGUAAUGGUCGUCAACGA
rnacentral:rRNA from 1 species